ACGUGUAUAUGAAUUAGAGAAUCGAAGUACGAGUUUACAAACAAAACCACUUUGUAGCUACACAUACAUUGUAGGAUGAUAAUAUAUAAGAACAAAAUAUAUUCAAGAUUCUCCAAUCCUAAAUAACAAAAACUUUAGUAAAUGAAUGAGAGAUGUUUCCCUGACCCAUUGGUAGCCGUCAAGGAAGAAGAGGUUCUUCUGUCCUCCUGUCUGAAAUAUUUCCAGACACUGUGGAAAGCCUGAAUUGAAAGAAAAAAAAAAAUAUUUGCAAAAUUGUUAAGAUUUGCAUGGUUUGGACUUUGGAGAAAAUAGAGAAAACUUUAGAAAGUCAUAAGAAUUCAUAUUUGAUUAAAAAUAGUGAAAAGUGACUCGAGCAAUUUGGAGGUUAACCAAGUAACCACCUAAUAGUAAUAACAAACUCUAACAAACUACUGGAAGCUAAUAGCUAAUCACCAUUAUUCUUAACAAAAAUCAAUCAUUAAUUAUUUUUGUAAAAUGGAUAAUGAAAUUGAAGACUUACUUGAUUGUGGUGAGGAAUGGUAUNNNNNNNNNNNNNNNNNNNNNNNNNNNNNNNNNNNNNNNNNNNNNNCAAACUCCAUUGCAAGAAAAUUUGAUGAACCUGGUGAUUGAUGUAUCACUCCAAUUGAAAUUAAACUUUCUGGAUCUCAUACAAAGUUGUUUAUGAGGUUCAACACGAUCAGGCAGAUGCCAUGUUCCUUGUUUAUCUAGUUUAGAACACUUACGGAUUUCCAAUGGAAAAUCGGUAUUGUUGUAGAUAACUGUUGUAAGCAUAGCGCCCAUGUUGUGGGAUCACAUGUGAUGUGCAGUGAAGGUUUUUCUUCUUUUUCUGUUUCAAAAGAAAAGUUAAGGUUUUGCAAAAAAUCAAAACAAGUUAGUAAAUGAGAAAGAGAAUCAAGUGUUGAAAUAGAGGUGAGAGAUGAGAUCAUGAGACAGAGUUGGGUACGUACUACGGCUUUGUUUCUUUUGGUAGAGAAACUUUCUCAAUAUUUUAUUAGUGAUAAACUUUCUGCUAGCAUAUGAUCCUAGCUAGCUAAAUGAUAUUUUUAGAAUUUUUUUUUUAAUUUUGGUUUUGGUUGAGGAAUUAUGGGAGGGUGUGAAGGGGUAUAUAUAUGUGUCAAAAGUGGAUGUUAGGCUAAAAUGUUUAGGUUGUUGGCAACAUUAUAAAUAAUUAAUAGUUUGUAAUGUAGUGGCGUCAGNNNNNUUUACUAGUACUAGUAUUAUAUAUACAUAUCUAAUUAUUGCUUAAAAAAAAGGAAAAAAACACUAUUGGGCCUUGCCUCUUAUGGUAAAAAAAGCCUUUUAACAAUAUAAACCCUUAUUUUGUCUUCUUCUCUAAUUGCAAAACCUAUUUGUUCUCCACUUCUCCCAAUCUCUCGCAAAACCAACACCAAAACUGUGUCUCUUCUUCUUGAAGCUUGGACCACUUAUUUUGUUUUCUUCUCUAAUUCCAUUCAUCUCCAAUUUCUUGGUAAGUGGUAGAUUUAAAUUUAAUACUCUUUAUAGCUCUCUUUUCUUUGAUGAAUAUUGUAGUGUUAUCUUGGUUUUGAGGGUUGUCAUUAAGUUGUUACUUUAUUUUUCUAUCUACAUCUUUUAUUUUUAGAAUUGACUUUAUUUUUCCAUAAGAUUGUGUUAGUCUUUGUUAUGUUGGGACUUGUUUCUUUAAGUGUUUGAGUUUGUCUUAUGCUUGUGUUUUACCUUUGUCUAAAUUUGUUUGAAAAAUUGUGUUUUUGUUAGGCUGAAAAAUGGUUAGAGAAAAAACAAUUGACUCAUUUUUUAAGAGGAAAAAUAGAGAAAAUGUUGAAAGUGUUGAUAAAGAUGAACAACGAAUAGAGCCAUCUAGUGUGCAACUUGCCCAACCACCUCCUUGCAAAGCUCCAAGGAUCGAACAAGAAAGAAUUAAUAUUGAUAUUGACUAUAUUUGUAUGACUAUAUUGGCUUUGAAGAAUACUUAUAUGUUCUUAAAUUUCUUAGAUAUGUAGUAGUGCAUUGAAAAAUUUACUUUUUCUAUAUACUAAAUUAUACUUUUGAGACUCGGUCCCCCCUAUGUUUAAAUCCUGGCUCCGCCCCUGCAUGUGAUCAUCAAUAAGGAUGAUAAUAUAUAAGAACAAAAUAUAUUCAAGAUUCUCCAAUCCUAAAUAACAAAAACUUUAGUAAAUGAAUGAGAGAUGUUUCCCUGACCCAUUGGUAGCCGUUAAGGAAGAAGAGGUUCUUCUGUCCUCCUGUCUGAAAUAUUUCCAGACACUGGGGAAUGCCUGAAUUGAAAGGAAAAAAAAAUUAUUUACAAAAUUGUUAAGAUUUGCAUGGUUUGGAGAAAAUGGAGAAAACUUUAGAAAAUCUUCAAGAUAGUAAAAAUCAUAAGGAUUCAUAUUUGAUAAAAAGAUAGUGAAAAUAAUACAAUAGUGACUCUUCAGUCUUAUACAGAGCAAUUUGGAGGUUAACCAUGGAACCACCUAAUAACAAACUCUAACAAACUACUAAUAUAAACUCUAACUAACUAAUGGAAGCUAAUAGCUAAUCACCAUUAUUCUUAACAAAAAUCAAUCAUUCAUUAUUUUUGUAAAAUGGAUAAUGAAAUUGAAGACUUACUUGAUUGUGGUGAGGAAUGGUAUUUUCUGAUCAUCCAUUUCGACAUUGAAUCUUCUGUUGUUUAUGAAAUCUUGUGGAGUUAAAAUGGCAAAACAAACU
rnacentral:lncRNA from 1 species